AAUUUCUGGGCCAGACUCCUAUUUCUUCUGGCAAUGCUGAAACUCAACAUGUGUCAGCUGAAGCAAAUAAUUUGGAUGGUGUUAAGAACUUGAUUAAAUAAAGGAUCAGGUCUAUCUAAUUCAUUCAAAGAGCCACAUUUGCACUUUGAUAAGGAAAAUUGGCACAAUUUCUGUUGUCGGCUUUUUGGCGUUUUAAAAAUAGUUGUUGGAACAUUGGUAGAACACAGUUUCUUAUUCCUUGGUGUUGGAGAGGUUUUACUCCUAAUCUCAAUUGGUUUAUUUGGUCUAUUGAAUGUGUUUAACACUUUAACUUUGAUUUUUUUUCACUUGUGUAUUUCUUGUGAACAUCUUAGUUUCCCAUUCUGGGAGUAUGAAUUCCUAUGUACUUAUGCUUCGUCCUUGUAUUUCAUAUUACAAAUCUUGUAAUGCAUAUAAUUAUAUGAGAAAUAGAUAUAGGAAGAUCAUGUCUAUUAGGAUUUUAUUUAUGAGGUGGGCUUCUGCUUUUUUAAAAAGAGGGUAGAAGAUAAUUUUUCCGAUUUGGAUCGAAAUCUACUGUUUGCCAUAAUUUCGCUAUGCUACUUAGUGCUAAGUGUACAUGUUACAUUUUAUGUGACUUUAAUUAUUGCACUAUGUAGGUACAUGUUUCAAGAGUAUUUUAACUAAUCUCAGUUAAAAUAUUUGUUCUGUUUAUACGAAUACUUCUUUAAAUCUUUUCCUUAUCUUGAUUAUCAAUACAGGCUGGUACCAUAGCUCUAGAGAUGUUAAAGCAGGUUUUGAACUUAGUCUUUUUAUUAUGUGCAUGAACAACGUUUUGGAUGUGAUGAUGAUAAUUUUAGAUAUUGGCAAAUUUUGGUUGUGGAUUUCUUAUGGUUGUUGUAGACAAAUGGUGCUCCAUUGGAAGAGACUCGCAAGAAGUUAUGAAUGGUCGAUUCUAAGUUUGUACAAAUUCAAGCGGACUUUCUACUAAGGAAGUAGUUGAAGCGAUGGCUAAUUUUAAUGAGAUAGUAUUAGAUCCAAUGCACGAGUUCCCUUGCAUUGAUUUUGGCUCAAUCCAACCCUACCUCUCAAUCAGAAUGUAGUGUAGAAGAGGCAUAUACGUGGAGUAAGGUAAGUUUUCUCUAUCUUUUUGCAGCAAUAGUUGCAUAAUUCAUAUUCACAAUUUACUUUGGUAGUUAAGAAUUUGGCUUUCAUUCACAUGGUCAAGCAAUAUUUGCUAGUGGGAGUCCAUUUGAUCCAAUUGAAUAUGAUGGAAAAGUUCUUGUGCCAGGACAGGUUUAAAAUUUUUAUUUGUUACAAACUAACCUUUGGUGUUUCACUUUCUUCUGGUCAAAUAAUGCAUACAUCUUCUCGAGAUUUGGCCUUGGGCUGGUGAUCUUCGGAGCAACCCGUGUGCACAAUGAUGACAUGCUUACGUUCAGCCUGAAAGUUCACAAGUGGAAUCACCAUUACUAUAUUUCUAUUUUUGUAUAUCAAUAUUUCAAACUUGUUCCAUAUACCAUAAACCCAUCGGGAACAUGUUUAAUCAACUUUGAAAUUUACUUUUCCAUAUAUUCCACAAAACUAUGGAAAGUAGAAUAAUUGUGGUAUCUUUUGUUGGACAACAAAAGCUUUAACUCCUAAUGACGUAGGACAACUUGGACAAAGGAAUGGUCUACCCACCAUUCCCCAACAUUAGGAAGAUAUUUGCUCAUAUUGCUGCGAAUGUUGCAGCAAAAGCAUAUGAACUUAGAUUGGUGAGUCGGUACCCACAUCCCAAGGACUUCAUGAAGUACGCGGAGAGCUUCAUGUACAACUUUGUUUAUCACCCGUAUAGAUGAUUGGACAAGAGGGCUUUGCGCAUAUUAACAGUAAGUCAAGUGUU